GAACAAUUGUAGCUUGCCACGGUGAGGAGGAAUGUCAGACGGGGAAAAUUAUUUCCACGCUGCCCACUAAGUGGCAACUCAUUACAAUUCAUCAAGUAUCGACUAUAAUAUAUAAACGGGUAUAGCUGAAUACCGUUUAAGAAGCUUAGAAAGUGACAUGCACUAGAGCAGAACUUGCAACAGCUCUCACCACUAGAGGACCUCGAAGUCACCACAGCGACGUCUUCGAAGGAGACACGUAGAGAGUAAGAGACAAUGCGGUUCCCGAAGUUCCUUGCCUUGUUCGUCUCCGCGAUGCCCGUGCUCAGCGUCACAGCUCAAGGGCCCUCACAAGACGAAAUCAAGUCGCUUCCGGGGCUUUCUGUCAAGCCGACUUUCAAGCAGUACUCGGGAUUUCUCAACGCUGGACGGAAUCGGCGCCUCCAUUACUGGUUUGCAGCGAGUCAGACGAAGAAAGCAUCUCUGGACCCAGUCGUCAUCUGGGUGAACGCAGGACCGGGAAGUUGCAGUUCGAUGCUCACUCUGAUGAUGGAACACGGUCCAUUCCGGCCAACGGAUAACGGGCUACGCCUCGUACCUAACGACUUCAGUUGGA
rnacentral:lncRNA from 1 species